UACGUAGGGGGCAAGCGUUAUUCGGAUUUACUGGGUGUAAAGGGAGCGUAGACGGCUGUGCAAGUCUGGAGUGAAAGGCAUGGGCUCAACCUGUGGACUGCUUUGGAAACUGUGCGGCUUGAGUGUCGGAGAGGCAAGUGGAAUUCCUAGUGUAGCGGUGAAAUGCGUAGAUAUUAGGAGGAACACCAGUGGCGAAGGCGGCUUGCUGGACGAUGACUGACGUUGAGGCUCGAAAGCGUGGGGAGCAAACAGG
rnacentral:rRNA from 1 species